rnacentral:rRNA from 1 species
GAUGAACGCUAGCGGCAGGCUUAACACAUGCAAGUCGAGGGGCAGCGCGGGAUAGCAAUAUCCUGGCGGCGACCGGCGGAAGGGUGCGUAACGCGUGAGCGACAUGCCCGUUGCCCGGGGACAACCGGUGGAAACGCCGACUAAUCCCCGAUGGGAUAUUGUGCCGCAUGGCACGAUAUUGAAAGUUACGGCGGCGACGGAUUGGCUCGCGUCCGAUUAGCUGGUUGGCGGGGUAACGGCCCACCAAGGCUGCGAUCGGUAGGGGUUCUGAGAGGAAGGCCCCCCACGAUGGGACUGGGACACGGCCCAUACUCCUACGGGGGGCAGCAGUGAGGAAUAUUGGUCAAUGGGAGGAAGCCUGAACCAGCCAUGCCGCGUGCGGGAAGGAGGCCCUAUGGGCUGUGAACCGCUUUUGCCUGGGGGCAAUAAGGGCGUCGCGCACGUCCGAUGAGAGUACCAGGCGAAUAAGCAUCGGCUAACUCCGUG